AAAGAGAACAUCUAGAGAACACUGAAACUAGAAUCACCAAGCAAUUUGUCUUUACUGCAAACAAAUCACACCAGGAAUUGGAUAGUGAAAACUUGAAGUUAACCAACAAAGGAAACGAGGAACAAAUUUUAGCGUUUGACUCCAAGAAAAUGGGAUACAUCUUGUCAGAAGAAACGGACAAUAAGACCACCACAUGGCUAAAAGAAGACGGGACACUUCAAACGUCCAGGUUGGGAUAUGACAUUUGUUUCCCCUCAUCACCACCACCAGGAACAACCCCUGGACUCCCAAAGAGGAACCAGGAUCCAGGAGGGCCAAGCCUCGCUUCUGAGACCCUGAAGCCACCCACAACGUUGAGGAGUCUAAAUGUGUCAAGCAAUUACACCCGAGGAAAAGAAGCCAUGACGGCGAAACCGAAGGCUCUCGAGGCCCUUUUGUGACAUCUCGCAACUCUCUAGGAACUAGAGCCAACUUAUAGGAGUGGGUCGAGCAAACUUCAUGGUGAAAUGCUUUAAAAAGGGUAAGGAAAUCAAGAAACAUCAACAUAAACCUUCAGCGCUUGCCCGCAACCUUGGGGAGGACAUGCGUUAGGGCACUGAGAAAUGUGUGCUCCAUGUCCUAAUCUGAUGACAAAUUUUCAGGUGCUGCCAGAGCUGCCUGGCUACCAUCAUAUCUCAAUAUAGCAUUUUUCUCCCUUGUCAGCAGGUGGGUGGCAACAAGAGUGACUUGUGGAACAAUGCCCAGUUCCACAUCUACAGGGCUGAAAUCACCACCCCACAUGCAGAACUUCAGAGAGGCCGAUUAAAAGUCUGGAACCUCUCAAACACCGACUUCUUUCGGCCUCUGUUCAGAGUUCACUCUCAGGAUACAAAGUCACAAUACCCCAGCUUGCUUACGAUUCCGAGAAGGAGAGCGGAGCUGUCGCCUCUCAAUUUUUCCAGAGGCAACAGUCACCUAAGCAAGUACGAUACCCGUUUCCUUCGGAGAGCUCAAUGACGGUCAGGUGCUAUUUUCUUUCUUAACACUCAACUCUUAGAAGGAGUCCAAGGGCUAUUUUACAGACAAGAAAACGGGAGAAAUCUAAGCCCCAGAUGGCGAGGCGUCUUACUUAAUAAAAGGUAGUCAGUUGCAAAGUCAGUAAGAGAACC